rnacentral:rRNA from 1 species
ACGGGUGAGUAACGCGUAGGAAUCUGCCUUGAAGCGGGGGACAACUAGAGGAAACUCUAGCUAAUACCGCAUAAUAUCGAGAGAUUAAAGCUGGGGCAACCUGGCACUUCAAGAGGAGCCUGCGUCCGAUUAGCUAGUUGGUAGGGUAAAAGCCUACCAAGGCGAUGAUCGGUAACUGGUCUGAGAGGACGACCAGUCACACUGGGACUGAGACACGGCCCAGACUCCUACGGGAGGCAGCAGUGGGGAAUAUUGGACAAUGGGGGCAACCCUGAUCCAGCAAUGCCGCGUGUGUGAAGAAGGCCUUCGGGUUGUAAAGCACUUUAGGAUGGGAAGAAGGUAUGUAUUUUAAGAGAUAACAUAUUUGACGGUACCAUCAGAAUAAGCACCGGCUAACUCUGUGCCAGCAGCCGCGGUAAUACAGAGGGUGCAAGCGUUAAUCGGAGUUACUGGGCGUAAAGGGCGCGUAGGUGGUUGUGUAAGUUGUUUGUGAAAUCCCCGGGCUUAACCUGGGAACUGCAAGCAAAACUGUGCAACUUGAGUACUGUAGAGGGUAGUGGAAUUUCCGGUGUAGCGG